CCUACGGGGUGCAGCAGUGAGGAAUAUUGGUCAAUGGGCGGAAGCCUGAACCAGCCAAGUAGCGUGCAGGAUGACGGCCCUACGGGUUGUAAACUGCUUUUAUACGGGAAUAACGCGCCUUACGUGUAGGGUUUUGCAUGUACCGUAUGAAUAAGGACCGGCUAAUUCCGUGCCAGCAGCCGCGGUAAUACGGAAGGUCCGGGCGUUAUCCGGAUUUAUUGGGUUUAAAGGGAGCGUAGGCCGCAUGUCAAGCGUGCUGUGAAAUGUCCGGGCUCAACCCGGGCCUUGCAGCGCGAACUGGCGUGCUUGAGUCCGCGGAAGGCAGGCGGAAUUCGUCGUGUAGCGGUGAAAUGCUUAGAUAUGACGAAGAACCCCGAUUGCGAAGGCAGCUUGCUGCAGCGGAACUGACGCUGAUGCUCGAAAGCGCGGGUAUCGAACAGGAUUAGAUACCCCUGUAGUC
rnacentral:rRNA from 1 species